rnacentral:tRNA from 1 species
ACUUUUUUAAUAUAAUAAGUAUAUAAAGAUUCCAACUUUAAAGUUCAUAUAAGAAAAAAGUA